rnacentral:rRNA from 1 species
ACUGCUCAGUAACACGUGGCUAAUCUGCCCUUGGGACCGGAACACCCCCGGGAAACUGGGGCUAGUUCUCGAUAGGUGAAGAACUCUGGAAUGAGUCUUUGCCAAAUAGAUACUUGCGUUAUGCUCGUAGGUGUCGCCCAAGGAUGAGGCCGCGACCGAUCAGGUUGUUGGUGAGGUAAUGGCUCACCAAGCCUUUUACCGGUGCGGGCCGUGAGAGCGGGAGCCCGGAGAUGGGCACUGAGACAAGGGCCCAGGCCCUACGGGGCGCAGCAGUCGCGAAAACUUUGCAAUAAGCGAAAGCUUGACAGGGCUAUCCCGAGUGCCAUCCGCUGAGGAAGGCUUUUACCCAGUCUAGAACGCUAGGGGAAUAAGGAGAGGGCAAGUCUGGUGUCAGCCGCCGCGGUAAUACCAGCUCUCCGAGUGGUGUGGAUGUUUAUUGGGCCUAAAGCAUCCGUAGCUGGCCAAGUUAGUCCCUUGUUGAAUCCACCGAAUUAAUCGUUGGAUUGCGGGGGAUACUGCUUGGCUAGGGGACGAGAGAGGCAGACGGUAUUUCCGGGGUAGGGGUGAAAUCCUAUAAUCCCGGGAAGACCACCAGUGGCGAAGGCUGUCUGCUAGAACGCGCCCGACGGUGAGGGAUGAAAGCUGGGGGAGCGAACCGGAUUAGAUACCCGGGUAGUCCCAGCUGUAAACGAUGCAGGCUAGGUGUUUGGACGGCCACGUGCCGUUCUAGUGCCGCAGGGAAGCUGUUAAGCCUGCCGCCUGGGGAGUACGAUCGCAAGAUUGAAACUUAAAGGAAUUGGCGGGGGAGCAC